GAUGAACGUUGGCGGCGUGCCUAACACAUGCAAGUCGAACGCAGAUAGCAAUAUUUGAGUGGCGCACGGGUGAGUAACACGUAGCUUAUCUACCUCAAAGCGCGGGAUAACGUGUCGAAAGACAGGCUAAUACCGCAUAAGCUCACGGUCUCUAGAGGACUGAGAGAAAAGGUUUCGAUCACUUUGAGAUGAGGCUGCGGCCCAUCAGCAGUUGGGGUGGUAAA
rnacentral:rRNA from 1 species